CCUACGGGAGGCAGCAGUAGGGAAUUUUCGUCAAUGGGCGCAAGCCUGAACGAGCAAUGCCGCGUGAACGAGGAAGGUCUUCGGAUCGUAAAGUUCUGUUGAAGGGGAAAAAGAGCGGAGAGAGGAAAUGGUCUCCGAUUGAUAUUACCCUUCGAGGAAGUCACGGCUAACUACGUGCCAGCAGCCGCGGUAAUACGUAGGUGGCGAGCGUUAUCCGGAAUGAUUGGGCGUAAAGGGUGCGUAGGCGGCCUGCUAAGUCUGGAGUGAAAGGUACCGGCUCAACCGGUACAGGCUCUGGAAACUGGCGGGCUAGAGAGCAGGAGAGGGCGGUGGAACUCCAUGUGUAGCGGUAAAAUGCGUAGAUAUAUGGAAGAACACCAGUGGCGAAGGCGGCCGCCUGGCCUGUGACUGACGCUGAGGCACCAAAGCGUGGGGAGCAAAUAGGAUUAGAUACCCGGGUAGUC
rnacentral:rRNA from 1 species